GAGAAACAUUUUGCACUGUGCUGGGGGAUUCUACCCACAUAAGUCAGCAUGUUACUUGCUAGAUAAAAGAGCAAUGAAUGGAGUACUUCAUUUUAAAUGCCGCAACUCAGCAAGAAAAAAAAAGUGUCUGGUAUCUUCCUGAACAACUACCUGGUAUUAUACAGACGCCUAAAUACCUGACGUGUGACAGCAAAUGCCUGUUCCCAUGGAGCUGCUGCUUCUGAGAAAGCUUGAAACAGACAAAGAAUAAGGUAGAAAUGACCUCCUCACUAGAGAUGAAAAGAAGCUGUCCUGGUGAGGAAAUUGGAUCCCAGCUUUUGCCGCUAAGAUUCUUCUCUUCUGCCUCUGGUUUUCUUUAUUGUUCACCCCCAGAAGCAAUCGCUCUCUCACAAGGCAACACACGCAAUAGAGUGAACAGUGAUUCUACAGUCUGAUUCUGGAAAAGGCGACCACAGUGGAAAGAGUGAUCCACACAAGUAUAGGGCCUCCUGAUUAAAACACUAAGAUUUCAUCUCACGCUGUGCCUUUAUACUGUUGAGAUACUAAAGAGGACACUAAAGAUCAAAGUGCUACUUUACAACAUUUUGAAGAAAACAACUGCUACCUGUGUAUUAGUUUGUGCAGAUGUGUUACACAGCUUAGCUGUGUCUGUACCAGUUUAUUAGAAUCAAAGUAUUUUUAAAGUACCUAAGGCCAGGCACAGUGGCUCACACCUGUAAUCCCAGCACUUUGGGAGGCUGAGGCAAGUGGAUC
rnacentral:lncRNA from 1 species